rnacentral:rRNA from 1 species
CUGGAGUGGCGGCGUGCUAUACAUGCAGUCGAGCGCACCGACGUGCUCCUUGCUCCCUAUACGUCAGCGGCGGACGGGUGAGUAACACGUGGGUAACCUGCCUGUAAGACUGGGAUAACUCCCGGAAACCGGGGCUAAUACCGGAUGCUUGAUUGAACCGCCCGGUUCAAUCAUAAAAAGUGGCUUUUAACUACCACUUUUAAAUGGACCCCCGGCGCAAUAACUAGUUGGUGAGGGGACGGCUCCCCAAGGGGGCAAUACGUAGCCCACCUGAAAGGGGGGUCGGCCCCCCUGGGACUGAAACACGGCCCCCACUCCCCCGGGAAGGGGCAGUAGGGAAUCUUCCGCAAUGGACGAAAGUCUGACGGAACAACGCCCCGUGAGUGAUGAAAGUUUUCGGAUCAUAAAACUCUUUUGUUAGGGAAAAAAAAGUACCGUUCGAAUAGGGCGGGACCUUGACGGUACCUAACCAAAAAGCCCCCGGGAAAUACGUGCCCCCACCCGCGGUAAUACAUAAGUGGGAAGCGUUGUCCGGAAAUAUUGGGGCGUAAAGCGCGCGCAAGCGGUUUCUUAAAUCUGAUGUGAAAGCCCCCGGCUCAACCCCCGGAGGGUCAUUGGAAACUGGGGAACUUGGAGUUGAGAAAAAGAAAGUGGAAUUUCCACGUGUAGCGGUGAAAUGCGUAAAGAUGUGGAGGAACCACCAGUGGCGAAGGCGACUCUUCUGGUCUGUAACUGACGCUGAGGCCGCGAAAGCGUGGGGGAGCGAACAGGAUUAGAUACCCUGGUAGUCCACGCCGUAAACGAUGAGUGCUAAGUGUUAGAGGGUUUCCACCCCUUAGUGCUGCAGCCCACGCAUUAAGCACUCCCCCUGGGGAAUACGGUCGCAAGACUGAAACUCAAAGAAUUGACGGGGGCCCGCACAAGCGGUGGAACAUGUGGUUUAAUUCGAAGCAACGCGAAGAACCUUACCAGGUCUUGACAUCCUCUGACACCCUAGAAAUAGGGCUUCCCUUCGGGACAAAAUAACGGUGGUGCAUGGUGUCUUCAGCUCGGGUCGGGAAAUGUUGGGUUAAGUCCCCAACGAGGGCACCCUUGACUUAAUUGCCACCAUUAAUUGGGCACUCUAAAGGGACUGCCGGUGACAACCGGAAGAAGGUGGGGAUAACUCCAAACACCAAGCCCCUUAAAACCGGGGACAACACGUUGUUAAAUGGGGGGAAAAAAGGGACCCAAAACCUCGAGGUUAGCAA